ensembl:snoRNA
AUGGAUCUAUUUGACAGACCUGUGGCAGUUACUGUCUGCUGCUAAGGUUUCCAUCAGAGAUGCAAGAAAAAUGUGUCCUCAUGCUUUCUUUCUGAUUGUGGCAGUCAAUGCCGGAGUACAGGGAAAAAUAA